rnacentral:misc_RNA from 1 species
GUCCUUAAGUCGCACUGCAGUUACAAUUUGGUAUCAAAUUUAAAUAAUUUCUGGCGACAUCAGUGAAAGUGAAUGAUACUGACAAUCUAUGGCCCAAGCUACAUAAACUUUCAACUUUAAUAAGUCGUGAACAGAAUGCGGUAGGCUACCAGCACAAUCAGAAGUAUUAUGCCCUGCUUUGCCUAGAAAAUAUUUGGCGACCUUCUCCUCUUGCUUGCAGGGAGUAAUGCCCCAUCAUAAUUAUAGAAAAUGUCAUCGUAUGCCCAGGCAUCAUGGCCCUCCUUAUGGUGCGACUUCUCAAAGUGGAGAGAUCUCUUCACUUCAACAAUCCUAUCUUCUACUCCCUUCUGAUGAUGCUUGUCCAACAGAUACAUGCUAUUAGCCCAUUCAAUCUUCUCUUGAAUCAAGGAAAGCAAAUUGUCUGAAUUGGUCAGCCAUUUUUCCAGUGUCUCUAUCAUACUUCCUAGAUGCCCAU